rnacentral:rRNA from 1 species
UACGGAGGGUGCAAGCGUUAAUCGGAAUUACUGGGCGUAAAGCGUGCGCAGGCGGUUUGUUAAGUCUGUUGUGAAAUCCCCGAGCUCAACUUGGGAAUUGCAAUGGAUGCUGGCAGGCUGGAGUAUGGUAGAGGAAGGUGGAAUUCCCGGUGUAGCAGUGAAAUGCGUAGAGAUCGGGAGGAACACCAGUGGCGAAGGCGGCCUUCUGGACCAAUACUGACGCUCAUGCACGAAAGCGUGGGGAGCAAACAGG